GACAGAGGGUGCAAACGUUGCUCGGAAUCACUGGGCGUAAAGGGCGUGUAGGCGGGAAGGAAAGUCGGGCGUGAAAUCCCUGGGCUCAACCCACGGAAGACUGCACUCGAAACUUCUUUUCUGAGUGCCGGAGAGGAAAGCGGAAUACCUGGUGUAGAGGUGAAAUUCGUAGAUAUCAGGUGGAACACCAGUGGCGAAGGCGGCUUUCUGGACGGUAACUGACGCUGAGACGCGAAAGCGUGGGGGAGCAAACAGG
rnacentral:rRNA from 1 species